CCCCCCCUACGGGAGGCAGCAGUGGGGGAUAUUGCACAAUGGGGGAAACCCUGAUGCAGCGACGCCGCGUGUGGGAAGACGGUCUUCUGGACUGUAAACCACUGUCCCCAGGGACGAAAAUGACGGUACCUGGGGAGGAAGCUCCGGCUAACUACGUGCCAGCAGCCGCGGUAAUACGUAGGGAGCAAGCGUUGUCCGGAAUUACUGGGUGUAAAGGGAGCGUAGGCGGGGAUGCAAGUUGGGUGUCAAAACUACCGGCUCAACCGAUAGUCGGACUCAAAACUGCAGCUCUUGAGUGAAGGAGG
rnacentral:rRNA from 1 species